rnacentral:rRNA from 1 species
GACGAACGCUGGCGGCGCGCUUAACACAUGCAAGUCGAACGGAAAGGCCUGCUUUCCCUUGUGGAUUGCGGGUACUCGCGUGGCGAACGGGUGAGUAACACGUGAGUGAUCUGCCCCCAACUUGGGUAUAAGCCUGGGAAACUGGGUCUAAUUCCCGAUAGGACUGCAGGGUGGUGCCUGUGGUGGAAAACGAUUUUCUAGUGGUUGGGGAUGAGCUCGCGGCCUAUCAGCUUGUUGGUGGGGUAAUGGCCUACCAAGGCGGCGACGGGUAGCCGGCCUGGGAGGGUGGACGGCCACAUUGGGACUGAGAUACGGCCCAGACUCCUACGGGAGGCAGCAGUGGGGAAUAUUGCACAAUGGGCGGAAGCCUGAUGCAGCGACGCCGCGUGGGGGAUGACGGCCUUCGGGUUGUAAACUCCUUUCGACCGCGAGGAAGCCACCUGGUUGGAAGGGUGGUGACGGUAGUGGUAGAAGAAGCACCGGCUAACUACGU